rnacentral:tRNA from 1 species
GGGCCAGUAGCUCAGCUUUGGUUAGAGCACACGACUGAUAAUCGUGAGGUCGGAGGUUCGAGUCCUCUCUGGCCCACCA